GUUCUUAUAGUUGAAGUGACAACGUGGCUUUUCAAGCCACAGAUCUUGGAGAGAUGCCAAGUGAGAAUA
rnacentral:tRNA from 1 species